AGGCCAUGUAAAAAUUUUCCGUGGAGAAGUUUGAUUCUAAAGUAGCUUCUCUAAAGUAGGCUUUGGUAGGUAAUCAACUUGACAGCAGUCUAGAUGUCUCACAGGACAGGAGGGAGUGAGGGAAAGGGGCCAUGAUUGGCUGCUUUGUGGUUUUAUUUUGGUUCUUUCCAUUCUCCGCCAUUCAUUGGAGGCUUCGUUCCAGACCUGCCUGGGAAAACAGCUUCUGAGCCAUUUUGGGGAGCAGUUCUUCAUCUGAAUGGAUGGACAUCUGGGCUUCCUUCAAGGGCCAUUGAAUGGGAACUAGAAAACCACUGGAAACUAGAAAUUUGAGCUAUUGGGCCCACCAGUAGCAGCAUGUGAUACUAGAUGGUUAAAAUCAUGAAAGCAGUCACUAUCCAAUUAGAAGCAGAGUCACAACAACUGUUGGGAAAUGUGACUCUUGGAGGAAGGUGGGGAGGGAGUGGCCUUGCCAGCCCUGUGGGACGUCCCCUGAAGUUUGUAAUAAGACCCCUUUUCCAAAGGGAUGUGAAUUGGAGUGAAAAGGAAAUCUUUCAUCUUAGAAAACUUCUGGUCCUUAACGCAGGGUGGUAUUUGGGUAUGUGCUUGGAAAUUGAGAUCUCAAGAGUGUUUGCCUUGGAGCCAGCUCCCCAGGAGGCCUUUUCCAGGGACAAGGCAAAAGUUGAAAUUCUCCAUGGGUAGCUAGAAAGCCAAUACAUCUAGCCCUGCUAAGUCAGAAAAAGAUUAUGAAAAAUGUUGAAAUUUACAUUCAAAGCCUCAUUUGCUUAUCUUGCUGGAGCCAACCCAGUCUAAUAGCAAAAUAGCUGUCAUUGAUACAGAAACAUCCUCAUUUUUAAAUGUCUGCUUUACCCUGUUACUGAGUUUGAGAUGACUUAAAUCACUGUGUUGACCCUCUUCUGAACCAAAUCUUUAGCAUUGAUGAAAAUAGUUAUUUUAUUCUUUACAUCCUUCACCCCACACUAUGGUCAGGGCAUGAAACACCCUGUUGAUCCCUUCCCAGGCUCGGCACUGUCUGCUCACUGGAGCCGGACUCCCAGGUUGUAAUUCUAAUGUUGCCUCAUGAGAACAGAAUGGCAGAAAGUUUAGUCCUGACAGAUUCCCCCAUAGGGAGUAAUGAGGACAGCAUGAAACUUGGAUAGGUUUUACCCUUAGUCCCUAUAAGGUGGAUUUUACUAAGGUUUUUUAAAUGAUACUGUCAUCCUCUUGGGGUUUAUCAGCCAGGUUAGAGGAGCCCAGUGUCCUAACCUCUCUCAGAUCAUGGCAGAGAAGGAGCUGCCUCCAGCCCCUUUCUUGCUGAGUUUCAUUUGAGCAGUUCCAUGUGUAGACAUUCCAAGUCACUGCUUGGUAGUUGCUGUGGGAGCCUGUCAUUGGCUAUGGCCAGUUAGUUCUCAGCUGAGCUUCCUAGGGCCAGUGCAACAGGGCCAGAGGCUGCUAUAGUGUAAAUUGAAAUAAGAAUAGAUCAUUGUUUUGUACACACACACAAUAAAAUGUAAUGAUGGUGCUAAUUUCACGGUAUAAAUAAGCACUGCCAAGGGUUGAGGGACUGGCAGCUCAAGAAACCCGGGUUCCUGUUUGGGAGGAGAUUUUAUGUAGAAAAGUUUGAGGCUUUGUUAAAAGUGGGGAGAAGGAAGAUCCUCAGUGAAGCCUGCACCCAACCCUGGAGUGGCCCAGUGCAAUCCAGAGGUGGAAGAGAUCCUAUAUCCAGGUGAAGGUGGCCAUUGAGUUUCUCAGGGCUGGGGCCACCUUGUCCAUAGCCUCCGUCCACGCUGCCUGGAGCAGGUUGUUAGAGAGCUCUGGUUGUUGGGUCUUCCUCAGCUCCCUUCUGCCCCUCUCUACCUCUUCCACUCAUGGAAGCCCCUCUACUGCUUAUGAAGAUUAAGGGUAGUAUUUUCUAAGGAAGUGGAAAGAAUUAAACUAGAAAUCCACAACCUCGGAAGAAGUGUUUCGAGUUUAACAUGCGCUGUUUCUGCUUAUGUGGUUCCUUCUCUAGAGCUGCUUUCCCAUGGCUUUCAAAACAUCAGGUUAUUGUGGGGCUUCAGGUGUAAGGUCCUGGAAGUUCAGCAAAGUUUCGUGGACAAGACAUGGGCACAGAGAGUAGAAGCAGAAAUAAAUGGUUCUAUGUUUUCAACUUCCAGGGUUGGGGCAGGCCAGAGCAAGGCGGUCUCAUCGAGGUGGGUGCUACCUGUGUGUGUGUAGAUGAGUGUGCUGAAGGUGGGGAGGGCAGCACACAGCAGCUCAUGGCAGAGCCGCCUCCUAGGUCUUGGCAAAGAGGCAAGCUGACGAUAGACAUCUACCUAUAUUGUUAAGAAAGGGGUCGGGGGGAUCAGCCAAGGUCCAUCAUUGCUUUUUUGCCGCGCCCCCCCCCCCCCGCCCCCAUAGAUUGUCAGCUGUAAGUGAAACUCCUAGUGAAAAAGAGGGGAGCCCUGUGUUAGGAGUCCCCAUAAACAUGUACUGUAAUUCUUUGUAUAUAGAAAAAAAAUUUACUGUAAAGUAAAGUUUAACUUUACUCAU
rnacentral:lncRNA from 1 species